UGUAUUUUUGUCAUUGAUGGUGUCAUUAGUAUUGUCAGGUUCUCUCAAUAUGCGUUUGUUAUGGUUAUUAAUAAUAUGUUCCAUAUUGUUCAUGCAGCUGUAACUUAAUUUAAUUGUGUUGCGGUUAAAUAGUUUUCUGAGUUUGUGGUCUAUGGGAAAGUGCUUGUCAAUUAGUGAAAUGAAUUUGUAGCCGAUGUUUGUGCUGACGUUCUUGCUGUAUGGUGGGUUGUACCAGAGUAUGUUAUUUCUAAGUCUGUUUUUCCGUUUCGUAGUAGCGUUUGGGUCAUAUUUCAGCGUGUAAUGAUAUCCAUUUUCGUCAAGUGCUUUUUGGUAUGGAGGGAUUGCUUGGUCGAAUGAUGCUCUGUCGGAUGAUAAGGAUGAAAGGCGUUUGUUAAUGGUAUCGGGUAUGUUCUUUGUAAUGCUUGGAGGAUGGUUGCUUUCGUGGUGGAUGUAUUGCAAAGAGGUGUUGGGCUUAGUGUAAGGUCGAUGGGAAGAAUUCUUUAGAUCGAACGUGUUGCUUUAGUAAUGGCUAGUCCGUCGUCGCGAUAGAGUCCUAUGUUAGUAAUGAUGUGUUGCAGUUGUGAGAGUAGAUAGCUUCCUACGAGUUCGCAUGUUUCGGCGCCGUCGAAGCUGCCCAUUGUCACGUCGAAUGUGGAGUUGUA